rnacentral:tRNA from 1 species
GGGGCCAUAGCUCAGCUGGCAGAGCGUUCGCCUUGCACGCGAAAGGUCGCCGGUUCGAUUCCGGCUGGCUCCA